rnacentral:lncRNA from 1 species
UUCUAUUCUAAACGACUAAUGGCUGAUGUCAGCAGUUGUUUACCGCCAACGCUUAAUCGAUUCAUCGAAUGAGAACGAAUACUAGGCAUAUCGGCGUUAGCGACUCAUCGACCCGCGGCGACAGUAGGAAUCCGUUCUUAAAACCGUCGAGUUUGCCGAAGGCAGACAUUUAUUCGCUAUUAAAUUGUGGUGAAGUGGCACUGGCGCAUCAAUAUUAUCUUACACCGUUAAAUUCGUACGCUUUAUAUAUUAUCAUCCGCUCCUUAGGAUUAGUAACAUCCAUGGGCGCAGCCAUCUGGAAACAACUCAACAGGU